CAUUACAAAUUGCAAUGGAUGGAUUUUCUCUGUAUCUUUUCUUAUCCUCAAAAUUCCUUUCCCGGAAGAAAAGUCUUUAGCUUCAAACUGAACAAAACCCUCUUCACAGAGAAAUGUUACAAAACCCCAAACUCCUCCAAAUCCAAUCCUCCCUUAAGCUCCAUUCUCUAAUACCACCAACACAUUUUCAAAGCAUACCCACUUGCCCUAUCAUCAAACAAUGUUGCAAGUUGUCUCGCAGAGAGCUUGCAAUUUUCAGCAAUUCUUCAUUGCUUCUUCUUCUCAGCUCUCAAUCUCUAGAACCAUUUAACCUGUCAAAAGCAAAAGCUGAAGAAAAUUUGCCAGGAACCAGUAAAAUUGAUCAGCCAGAAGAGAAAACAGGGACUAAUCCAAACUGCAGCAACCAAACUCCAACUAAGCAAGCAUUUCUUGAUAUAUCCGUUGAUGGAGAACCUGUUGGCCGCAUUAUUAUUGGAUUAUAUGGAGAGGGUGUCCCUGCUGGAGCUGCUAGGUUCAGUAAUCUUGUGAGUGGAGCUGCUGGUAUUAGCUACAGAAGAAAAGAGUUCAUCAAAAUCAUGCCAAACUAUGUGCAACAUGGUGGGGUGAGAUCUUAUGGUGUGGAUGCUGAGCUUGCAAGUAGAAAAGGAAGUAACUUGGCAGUUGAAAGCCUCGCAGAUGAAUUGGAGAGACAGAGUGAGUGUUCAGGGAUCAAGAAUUCGGCUGGGACUGUUAGCAUAAUUGUGAGGGAUCCAUUGAAACCUCCUCCAAAGUUGAAGUUGAUUGCAAGGAAUGGGAAGUUAGAGAUUGAUAAAGAAAAGGUGGGAACUGAUCCAAAUGGUACCGAAUUCGUGAUCGCCACUGGGGAUUCACCGGACCUGGAUGACUCAAAUCUGGUGAUUGGAAGAGUACUAGAAGGUAUGGAGGUUGUGGAGAGAAUUGGACGAGUGAAGACAGUCCAAGAGAACACUGGUUCCCCCUAUUUCAGGUAAGUCAAUUCUCUGGCAGUUCUCUCGCAGAACAUUGUUCUGUAUAAACAGAAAUGCUAAGCUCAUAAAACAAGAUCACCUUUUAAGAAUUCAUUGCAUAAUCACAGAGUUAAUAAACAGUAAAAUUAUUUCUUUUUUCUGGUGAGCAGAGUUGCAAAGCUUAUAGGAGACAAGAGGGCUGUUGUUGCAGAAAGAGGCUUUAACAGACCUUAUUCAAAGGUGAUUGUCACCAAUUGUGGCUUGAUGGAAUAACACCAAAUUCUUCUUGUAAUUUCCCCCCUGCCAAAAUCUCACAUCAAUAUUUAAGAAUGCAAUCUGUCCUGCCAAUGUUACAGUUUAAUUCACAAAAUACUUUAGGUUGUAAAAUUUGAAGGCUGCUGCCAUGCCAAGCCUAGUGAUACAACAGUCAACAAUUGCAUGGUAUGAAUACAUAAUUUCUAAGGUCACAGUACCUUGAUCAUGGAAAUGGGUGAAGGAGAUUUGUAGAAAGGCUAGAAUGCACUUUUGAUGAAAUAAAGCAGAUAAUGCUUGCUUCCAACC
rnacentral:misc_RNA from 1 species